rnacentral:rRNA from 1 species
GACGGGAGGCAGCAGUGAGGAAUAUUGGUCAAUGGGCGCGAGCCUGAACCAGCCAAGUAGCGUGCAGGAUGACUGCCCUAUGGGUUGUAAACUGCUUUUAUCAGGGAAUAAAGUGAGGCACGUGUGCCUUUUUGUAUGUACCUGAUGAAUAAGGACCGGCUAAUUCCGUGCCAGCAGCCGCGGUAAU